AAGUGGUCAAAUUUGAAACACCAGAGCAAACACCAGGAUCGUCAGUUUCAAAAUGAACGUCGAAGAGUUAACACUGCUUUUAGUUAUACAUACGACUCAAAAUAAAAUUAAC